GGAAUUUUCCGCAAUGGGCGAAAGCCUGACGGAGCAACGCCGCGUGAGGGAUGAAGGCCUCUGGGCUGUAAACCUCCUUUAUCAAGGAAGAAGAUCUGACGGUACUUGAUGAAUAAGCCACGGCUAAUUCCGUGCCAGCAGCCGCGGUAAUACGGGAGUGGCAAGCGUUAUCCGGAAUUAUUGGGCGUAAAGCGUCCGCAGGCGGCCUUGUAAGUCUGUCGUCAAAGCGUGGAGCUUAACUCCAUUUAAGCGAUGGAAACUGCAAGGCUAGAGUGUGGUAGGGGCAGAGGGAAUUCCCGGUGUAGCGGUGAAAUGCGUAGAUAUCGGGAAGAACACCAGUGGCGAAGGCGCUCUGCUGGGCCAUAACUGACGCUCAUGGACGAAAGCCAGGGGAGCGAAAGGGAUUAGAUACCCCUGUAGUCCUGGCCGUAAACGAUGAACACUAGGUGUCGGGGGAAUCGACCCCCUCGGUGUCGUAGCCAACGCGUUAAGUGUUCCGCCUGGGGAGUACGCACGCAAGUGUGAAACUCAAAUGAAUUGACGGA
rnacentral:rRNA from 1 species